GAUGAAGAACGUAGCGAAAUGCGAUAAAUAAUGUGAAUUGCAGAAUUCAGUGAAUCAUCGAGUCUUUGAACGCACAUUGCGCCCCCUGGUAUUCCGGGGGGCAUGCCUGUCCGAGCGUCAUUGCUGCCCUCAAGCACGGCUUGUGUGUUGGGCCCCCGUCCCCCCCUCCCGGGGGACGGGCCCGAAAGGCAGCGGCGGCACCGCGUCCGGUCCUCGAGCGUAUGGGGCUUUGUCACCCGCUCUGUAGGCCCGGCCGGCGCCUGCCGACCACCAUCAAUCUUUUUUCAGGUUGACCUCGGAUCAGGUAGGGAUACCCGCUGAACUUAAGCAUAUCAUAAGCGGAGGA
rnacentral:misc_RNA from 1 species